rnacentral:rRNA from 1 species
GUCCACGCCGUAAACUAUGGUCGCUAGCCGUCGGACAGCUUGCUGUUCGGUGGCGCAGCUAACGCAUUAAGCGACCCGCCUGGGGAGUACGGCCGCAAGGUUAAAACUCAAAGGAAUUGACGGGGGCCCCGCACAAGCGGUGGAGCAUGUGGUUUAAUUCGACGCAACGCGAAGAACCUUACCUACCCUUGACAUGUCCGGACGACUUCCAGAGAUGGAUUUCUCCCAGCAAUGGGCCGGAACACAGGUGCUGCAUGGCUGUCGU